rnacentral:rRNA from 1 species
UACGUAGGGGCCUAGCGUUGUCCGGAUUUAUUGGGCGUAAAGAGCGUGUAGGCGGCCAUACAGGUCAGCUGUGAAAACUCGAGGCUCAACCUCGAGACGUCGGUUGAAACCGUGUGGCUAGAGUCCGGAAGAGGAGAGUGGAAUUCCCGGUGUAGCGGUGAAAUGCGCAGAUAUCGGGAAGAACACCCGUGGCGAAAGCGGCUCUCUGGGACGGUACUGACGCUGAGACGCGAAAGCGUGGGGAGCGAACAGG